GCCGAAAUAGCUCAGUUGGGAGAGCAUACGCCUGAAGUAUUCAGGUUCAUACAGCGUAGGGUCCCUGGUUCGAGCCCGGGUUUCGGCA
rnacentral:tRNA from 2 species